rnacentral:rRNA from 1 species
AUUGAACGCUGGCGGCAGGCCUAACACAUGCAAGUCGAACGGUAACAGGAAGCAGCUUGCUGCUUUGCUGACGAGUGGCGGACGGGUGAGUAAUGUCUGGGAAACUGCCUGAUGGAGGGGGAUAACUACUGGAAACGGUAGCUAAUACCGCAUAACGUCGCAAGAACAAAGAGGGGGACCUUCGGGCCUCUUGCCAUCGGAUGUGCCCAGAUGGGAUUAGCUAGUAGGUGGGGUAACGGCUCACCUAGGCGACGAUCCCUAGCUGGUCUGAGAGGAUGACCAGCCACACUGGAACUGAGACACGGUCCAGACUCCUACGGGAGGCAGCAGUGGGGAAUAUUGCACAAUGGGCGCAAGCCUGAUGCAGCCAUGCCGCGUGUAUGAAGAAGGCCUUCGGGUUGUAAAGUACUUUCAGCGGGGAGGAAGGGAGUAAAGUUAAUACCUUUGCUCAUAGACGUUACCCGCAGAAGAAGCACCGGCUAACUCCGUG